UUUGGAUAAGAUGUUUUGUUAUUCCUUUUACAGAUUGUUAUGAGGAUUGCAAAAGUUUUAAAUAUCAGAAACUGAAGAAGGUAUUGAUAAUCAGCAGAUAAUAAAAAAAGCAAAAGUACUGAUUAUUCAAAUCUUUUAAAGUGAAACUGUCGGUAUCUCCACAACUUUUCAAUUAAAUAGAAAGUUUCAAUCAAACAGGAUACUAAGUGUGCCUACUGCUCCUCAAGACAAUGGAUAAUGGGAGUUAUCAAACUUGCGAUAACUACAAGUUUUUUUAAUAAGUAAAAAGAUUGUAUGACUUCGGUAUCCGCAAUAUGGUAUCGUGCAUUGUUUCUUAUCUUAGAAUGGCUCCCUUCCGUAUAGGUGAAAAUAAGAAAGGUUAUCAGUUCAAGCAAAGAUGACAAUGAUCGUUAUGGAGCCGAUCAUGAUGACGAAUACGAUAAUGCAUAUAAUAAUAAAUAAAAUGAUU
rnacentral:lncRNA from 1 species